rnacentral:rRNA from 1 species
CCUACGGGAGGCUGCAGUGAGGAAUAUUGGUCAAUGGACGAGAGUCUGAACCAGCCAAGUAGCGUGAAGGAUGACUGCCCUAUGGGUUGUAAACUUCUUUUAUAUGGGAAUAAAAUGUUCCACGUGUGGGAUUUUGUAUGUACCCUAUGAAUAAGGAUCGGCUAACUCCGUGCCAGCAGCCGCGGUAAUACGGAGGAUCCGAGCGUUAUCCGGAUUUAUUGGGGUUAAAGGGAGCGUAGGUGGAUUGUUAAGUCAGUUGUGAAAGUUUGCGGCUCAACCGUAAAAUUGCAGUUGAAACUGGCAGUCUUGAGUACAGUAGAGGUGGGCGGAAUUCGUGGUGUAGCGGUGAAAUGCUUAGAUAUCACGAAGAACUCCGAUUGCGAAGGCAGUUCACUGGACUGCAACUGACGCUGAGGCUCGAAAGUGUGGGUAUCAAACAGGAUUAGAUACCCUUGUAGUC